rnacentral:lncRNA from 10 species
AGCCCCAUGCCCGGCCCUUCAACUGUUAACCUGUAUUGAUCACCUACACUGGAGUAGAAAAGUACCCCAUUGCAGUAGAGAUAAGUGGAUCUGAAACCCCAACAGCAGCUGAAGAGGUUCUUUAUGACAGCUGGAACCUGCACUCCAGUUGCCCUUGCACGUUUGUGGUUUAGCAGUCCCAGAGACAAAUCUGCCACUUCUGGCUUGCAUCCAACAAAAGUGCAGCUGUUCAUCAUUAGGAGAUGUUGGCUGAUGUACAUAGACAUGUAAGAAAGAUUCAAAGCGUCAUGGAUGGAUCACCAAUAACACCAGCAUAUGCAAGACCAGAGGAGAGUGUGUGAUCCAGGUCCUAGGAUUGACAAAUGAGGACUCAGUCCCUACUUGGGUUGGUGUUUUAUUUUGACUUUUUUCUGAAACAGCAGAGAAGCUUACCAAAUAAUCACAAGGAGAUAAGAAAGUGUUUACAUUUGUUUCAGUUGCUCUUCACUGCCUCCUUAUGACCAACACUCACAAUUCUAUGGUCUUAGCAGUUGCACUAAGAAGUCAGAAGAACCUGCUAUUGUGGGUUCAUAAUCUUUUAUUACCUUUCACUGAGAAACAAUUUAUACUACUAAACAAGAUAUCAGUUAUGAUGCUCAAGAUUUUAAGUGCCUUUUGAACUAAAAACAAACAAAAAAAUUGUGACCUGCAUAUAAUGUAAAUGGUUUAUCUUCAAGUCAAAAGCCACAGGUUUACCUCUGCAGCUUUACUCUUUCCUAAACAUUGCUUUCGUGUAUUGCUUAUGCAUGCUUUCUGCGUCCCAAAAAGUAUGUAGAGAAUAACAGUUUAAGUCCUCCAGAGGAGUUACUACCUCUACUACAUGUUUCAUUCUCAUUACAUGUUGCAUUGCUUAUUAAUAUCUGUGUUUUGUAGUGGACUUCAUGAGGACAGGUAAUGUUACCAACUGAAUUGUGUACCCCCAAAAUUCACAUGUUGAAACCCUAAUCCCCAAUGUGACUGUAUUUGAAGUAGGGCCUACAGCAGGUAAUUAAGGUUAAAUGAGGUCAUAAGUGUGGGGCCCUGAAUCGAUGAGAUUAGUGUCCUUAUAAGAAGAAACAGCAGAGACCUUGUUCUCUCCACCAUAUGAGGACACAGUGAGAAUGUAGCCAUCUGUGAGCAGGAAGGGAGGCCUCACCAGGAUCCAAAUGAGCCAGAACCUUAAUCUUGGACUUCUCACCCUGCAGAACUGUGAGAAAAUAAAUUUCUGUUGUUUAAGCCACAUAAUUUGUGGUAUUUUGUUAUGGCGGCCUGAGCAGACUAAUACAGAUACCAUGUCUAUCUUGUUCAUUAUCCUAUCUUCUGUGUUAUAGUUUAUCAAAUAUAUGUUUAGUAAGAUGCAUCCUAGUUAGAAGGCAUUGAACUUGGGCUUAAAUAACUGCUGCAUCGUGUUACAUUUCCAGGAUUUUUUCUCUCUUUCAUGAACUCUGUGAAGAAAUUUUACUUAGAAAAAACUGACACUGUCAUUGGCAUUACAAGAGGUGCUCUACAGGACUUGUGUGACCCACAGUAAUCCUGCAAAAAAGCCAUGUCAUCCACUCAUGGACAGAUUUAAGCUUAAAAUUCUUCCAGAGUUUGCAAUGGGAUAUCUCCCUUUAUCUUCUCUGUGGUACAGAGACAGUUUUCUGUUAAUUUCCACAUAAGGGCUUUCCAUGAACAUGGUAAACAAAAAAGGGAGAAAGCAACAAGUUAUAGCACUCUGAGUAGGUAGGUUUCAUGAGAGCAGAGAGGUGAUCAGGAAGGCAGAGAUGUGAACAGACCAGAUGUCUUGGGGGCUCAAGACCAGUAUACAUGGUGUGGGAACAAAUAUUAAGUCUUUUAUUUUUAUUUUUCAAAUAUUUUUUUAAAGGAUUUAAGCCAGGCACAGUGGUUCAUGCCUGUAAUCUCAGCUACUUCAAGAGGCUGAGGUGGGGCCGGGAGCGG